CUUUGGGUACCGUCAAGUCCGGAGGUAUUAACUCCGUGUUUUUCUUUCCCAAUAAAAGUGCUUUACAACCCGCAGGCCUUCUUCACACGCGGCAUUGCUGCAUCAGGCUUUCGCCCAUUGUGCAAUAUUCCCC
rnacentral:rRNA from 1 species